rnacentral:lncRNA from 1 species
AGGUAAACCUUAAUCUAUCCGGUAGCUAGGAACAUAUGCUUAGAUUGUAUAAUCGAUAAGAACAGGUUAUGCAUCUUUUUUUUUUGACAGAACAGGUUAUGCAUCUUAAUUCAGUGUUUAUCUAAUAUAAGCACAAUGACCAAUAUGUAGAGUUAAUUUAUUGUGUUUCUAGAUUUCCAUUCUUUAAUGUUGUGUUUGGUUGGGGUGAAUGGAAUGGAAUGGAAUGAGUAUAAAUAAAAUAAAAUAAUAGAGUGUAUGAGGGAAGACUUUGAAAAAAAAAUUAGUGAGUACAAAUUUUGUAUGAUAAGAUUUAGGUAGAAAAUAGGUAUGAUAAGGAAUGGAGCAUUCCUUCCCAAAAUGGAGGCUUUGAGCUCUAGUUAAGGGUGAUGCUAAUGGAAUGGUGGAAGGAAUGAAAUUAUUAUGAAUUCAACUAAAUUAUAAAUCAAAUCUCAUUCCAUUUCCUCCAUUUUCAUUCAUCCCAACCAAAUACAACAUAAGAGUUUGCAAAAUUGCGUAGACAUCAAACAAGAAUCUAGACAUCAUUGGUUCCUUCCCUUUACCUGAAUUUCCAUUUUUCUCAAUAUUGUCUUCAAUUACAAGUAUUAGUUUUUCUUUUACAUUUCCACUCUACCAAAUACAGCAGAAAAAGUAGUUAAGUAGGUUCUAAUUGGCUAAGAAAAUCAAAUCAAAUCAGAUUUAGAAUUUGGAUAAUUUGAUUCUAUGCUGAGUUGCUGCAGAGUUGUGUAGAUUGACACAGAGUUGCAAUUAUCCCCCAAAUCCAUCAUAUUAAGGGUUUUCUACUUUCGUUUUAUGAAAUGAUCCAUUUUGAUGGAUUCUGGGUUUUAACUAUAAUUUACAAAAAUCCAAUAUAAAUUUAUAAAAAUUUUGAGGAUUUAAGACAUUUAUGAAGUCUCGACAUGCAGACUAGACAUAACAUUGGACAUAAAAUUUGGAUAUCGUAUCUUAGCAUAUGAAGUUAUUGAAAUAUGUCAGAGUUAUAAUUAAUACACUCUUAUGUUAUUUAUGUUGGUGUUGUAAUAGUUUGAAAUAUAUUAUGAGAUCCAAAAAAAUCCACCAAUUUAUAAGAAUCCUUAGUCGCCAAGUUUCUUUUAAUAUCACCCAAUAUUAUUAUUAUUGUUAUUAUUAUUAUUAUUAUUAUUAUUAUUAUUAUUAUUAUUAUUAUUAUUAUUAUCAUUAUUAUCAUUAUUAUUAUUAUUUCAAUUUGAUUGAAUAUUACCAGUUUCAAAGACCCUGAAGUCUUUGACUGAAUGACCCUGGAAUUAUAGAAUCUUGGUUGUAUACAAUUUUAAAAAAAUUUAAUAAAAUCCUCGUUAAACAUCCC